rnacentral:rRNA from 1 species
UACAGAGGUCUCAAGCGUUGUUCGGAUUCAUUGGGCGUAAAGGGUGUGUAGGUGGCGCGCUAAGUCGGGUGUGAAAUUUCGGAGCUUAACUCCGAAACUGCAUUCGAUACUGGCGUGCUUGAGGACUGGAGAGGAGACUGGAAUUCAUGGUGUAGCAGUGAAAUGCGUAGAGAUCGUAAGGAAGACCAGUGGCGAAGGCGGGGUCUCUGGACAGUUCCUGACACUGAGGCACGAAGGCCAGGGGAGCAAACGGG